UACAGAGGAGCCAAGCGUUGUCCGGAUUGACUGGGCGUAAAGCGCACGCAGGCGGAUGCGCGCGUGGGGUGUGAAAUCUGGCCGCUUAACGGCCGGGCGCCAUCCCAUACGGCGCGUCUGGAGUGAUGCAGAGGUCGAUGGAAUUGCCGGUGUAGUGGUGAAAUGCGUAGAUAUCGGGAGGAACACCAGUGGCGAAGGCGACUUCCUGGCCUGUUCUUGACGCUGAGGCGCGAAAGCUAGGGGAGCAAACGGG
rnacentral:rRNA from 1 species